GACGAACGCUGGCGGCGUGCUUAACACAUGCAAGUCGAACGGAAAGGCCCUGCUUUUGUGGGGUGCUCGAGUGGCGAAAGGGUGAGUAACACGUGAGUAACCUGCCCUUGACUUUGGGAUAACUUCAGGAAACUGGGGCUAAUACCGGAUAGGAGCUCCUGCUGCAUGGUGGGGGUUGGAAAGUUUCGGCGGUUGGGGAUGGACUCGCGGCUUAUCAGCUUGUUGGGGGGGUAGUGGCUUACCAAGGCUUUGACGGGUAGCCGGCCUGAGGGGGUGACCGGCCACAUUGGGACUGAGAUACGGCCCAGACUCCUACGGGAGGCAGCAGUGGGGAAUAUUGCACAAUGGGCGGAAGCCUGAUGCAGCAACGCCGCGUGCGGGAUGACGGCCUUCGGGUUGUAAACCGCUUUCGCCUGUGACGAAGCGUGAGUGACGGUAAUGGGUAAAGAAGCACCGGCUAACUACGUG
rnacentral:rRNA from 1 species